UACGGAAGGGGGCAAGCGUUGUUCGGAAUCAUUGGGCGUAAAGGGCGCGUAGGUGGUUCUGUAUGUCUACCGUGAAAGCAUACAGCUCAACUGUAUUUUGUCGGUAGAAACUGCAGGACUUGAGGCUGGGAGGGGCUGGUGGAAUUCCCUGUGUAGCGGUGAAAUGCGUAGAGAUGGGGGGAGAACACUCGUGGCGAAGGCGGCCAGCUAGACCAGUUCUGACACUGAGGCGCGACAGCGUGGGGAGCAAACAGG
rnacentral:rRNA from 1 species